rnacentral:rRNA from 1 species
UACGUAGGGUGCGAGCGUUAAUCGGAAUUACUGGGCGUAAAGCGUGCGCAGGCGGUUUUGUAAGCCAGACGUGAAAUCCCCGGGCUCAACCUGGGAAUGGCGUUUGGGACUGCAAGGCUGGAGUGUGGCAGAGGGGACUAGAAUUCCUGGUGUAGCAGUGAAAUGCGUAGAGAUCAGGAGGAAUACCGAUGGCGAAGGCAGGUCCCUGGGCUAACACUGACGCUCAUGCACGAAAGAGUGGGGAGCAAACAGG